CUCCUCCUCAUCUCUGCCCCCAGGUUCGGCUUCGCCAUUGCCCAGCGUCUGGCCCACGAUAGGGCCCACGUAGUCAUCAGCAGCGGGAAGCAGCAGAACGUGGACUGGGCUGUGGCCACGCUCUAGGGGGAGGGGCUGAGCAUGUGCCAGACACCCUGUGCCACACGGGGAAGGCUGAGGACUGGGAGUGGCUGGCCCUGGAACACUGUGGGGGUGUGGACUUCCUGGUGUGUGUGGCAGGGAUCAGUCCCUUGGUGGGAAGUGCCUUGGGGAUCAGUGAGCAGGUCUGGGACAAGAUCCUAAACAUCACUGUGAAGGCCCCAGCCUGC
rnacentral:lncRNA from 1 species